GAUGAACGCUAGCGACAGGCCUAACACAUGCAAGUCGAGGGGCAUCGGGGCGAGGAGCAAUCCUUGCCGCCGGCGACCGGCGCACGGGUGAGUAACGCGUAUGCGACCUGCCCGUUGCAGGGGGAUAAUCGGGAGAAAUCCCGUCUAAUACCGCGUAAUGCCGCGGGGCUGCAUGGCCCUGCGGCCAAAGGGAGCGAUUCCGGCAACGGAUGGGCAUGCGUGACAUUAGCUAGUUGGCGGGGCAACGGCCCACCAAGGCGACGAUGUCUAGGGGUUCUGAGAGGAAGGUCCCCCACACUGGUACUGAGACACGGACCAGACUCCUACGGGAGGCAGCAGUGAGGAAUAUUGGUCAAUGGGCGCGAGCCUGAACCAGCCAAGUCGCGUGAGGGAUGACGGCCCUACGGGUUGUAAACCUCUUUUGUCGGGGAGCAAAUUCCGCCACGUGUGGCGGAGUCGAGAGUACCCGAAGAAAAAGCAACGGCUAACUCCGUGCCAGCAGCCGCGGUAAUACGGAGGAUGCGAGCGUUAUCCGGAUUUAUUGGGUUUAAAGGGUGCGUAGGCGGACUGUCAAGUCAGCGGUAAAAUACGGGGGCUCAACCUCCGCCCGCCGUUGAAACUGACGGUCUUGAGUGGGCGAGAAGUAUGCGGAAUGCGUGGUGUAGCGGUGAAAUGCAUAGAUAUCACGCAGAACUCCGAUUGCGAAGGCAGCAUACCGGCGCCCGACUGACGCUGAAGCACGAAAGCGUGGGUAUCGAACAGGAUUAGAUACCCUGGUAGUCCACGCAGUAAACGAUGAAUACUAGCUGUCCGGGGCGAAUGAGCCCUGGGUGGCACAGCGAAAGCGUUAAGUAUUCCACCUGGGGAGUACGCCGGCAACGGUGAAACUCAAAGGAAUUGACGGGGGCCCGCACAAGCGGAGGAACAUGUGGUUUAAUUCGAUGAUACGCGAGGAACCUUACCCGGGCUCAAACGACACAGGAACGUACCUGAAAGGGUUCGGCUCUACGGAGCCUGUGUCGAGGUGCUGCAUGGUUGUCGUCAGCUCGUGCCGUGAGGUGUCGGCUUAAGUGCCAUAACGAGCGCAACCCCCAUCGACAGUUGCUAACAGGUCAGGCUGAGGACUCUGUCGAGACUGCCGGCGCAAGCUGCGAGGAAGGCGGGGAUGACGUCAAAUCAGCACGGCCCUUACGUCCGGGGCGACACACGUGUUACAAUGGCAGGUACAGCGGGAAGCCACCUGGCGACAGGGAGCGGAACCCGAAAGCCUGUCUCAGUUCGGAUUGGAGUCUGCAACCCGACUCCAUGAAGCUGGAUUCGCUAGUAAUCGCGCAUCAGCCACGGCGCGGUGAAUACGUUCCCGGGCCUUGUACACACCGCCCGUCAAGCCAUGGAAGCCGGGGGUGCCUGAAGUGCGCUGCCGCGAGGAGCGCCCUAGGGUAAACCGGGACUGGGGCUAAGUCGUAACAAGGUA
rnacentral:rRNA from 1 species